rnacentral:rRNA from 1 species
AGAGUUUGAUCCUGGCUCAGAAUGAACGCUGGCGGCGUGCUUAACACAUGCAAGUCGAACGAGAAAACCCUUCGGGGUGAGUAAAGUGGCGAACGGGUGCGUAACACGUGAGAAUCUCCCUUUUAGUGAAGGAUACCUUCGAGAAAUCGAAGUUAAUACUGCAUAAGCCUCUUCGGAGGGAAAGACGGCCUCUUGCUGUCGCUAAGAGAUGAGCUCGCGGACUAUUAGCUUGUUGGUAGGGUAAGAGCCUACCAAGGCAAUGAUGGUUAGCCGACCUGAGAGGGUGAUCGGCCACACUGGGACUGAGAUACGGCCCAGACUCCUACGGGAGGCAGCAGUGGGGAAUAUUGCACAAUGGGCGAAAGCCUGAUGCAGCGACGCCGCGUGGAGGAUGAAGGUUUUCGGAUUGUAAACUCCUGUUAAGUGGGAAGAAAUGCCUGUAAGUAAUAUGUACAGGAGAUGACGGUACCACUAGAGAAAGCUCCGGCUAACUUCGUGCCAGCAGCCGCGGUAAUACGAAGGGAGCGAGCGUUAUUCGGAAUUACUGGGCGUAAAGAGCGUGUAGGCGGUUGAUUAAGUCAGCUGUUAAAUCCCUUGGCUUAACUGAGGGGCUGCAGUUGAUACUGAUUGACUAGAGGGCAAGAGAGAGAAGUAGAAUUCUUGGAGUAGCGGUAAAAUGCAUAGAUCUCAAGAGGAAUACCAGUUGCGAAGGCGGCUUCUUGGCUUGUACCUGACGCUAAAGCGCGAAAGCGUGGGGAGCAAACAGGAUUAGAUACCCUGGUAGUCCACGCCGUAAACGAUGAUCACUAGAUGUGGGUUUUGUUUAACAGAAUCCGUGUCGUAGCUAACGCGUUAAGUGAUCCGCCUGGGGAGUACGGUCGCAAGAUUA